UUAUUCACACUUUUGAAGAAAGUCCUGACACGUGGCUGCAUCAGAAAAGCUGAGCCGACCAAAUGCAUAAUUUGUAUUUGGCUGCAGCGGAUUUCUUAAGAAAAUAACCACCGUAUCUGCUUGGUCUGACGCUUUACUUAUCUCCGGUCGUGUAAUUGUGAACGAAUUCAUAUACUGCUUGUCGUCGCAUUGCUUGCUUAGCUGAGCGAUAAUCACCAAACCCCGAUCAGCGCAGCGAUGUACGGUGAUGAUCCAGGAAAAUGUCCAAUUAUUCUGCGGAUUUUCAUGUUCGUCGCGCUUCAUAUUCCCCCAUAAACGCCCCAUAUUUAUUGGCCUCGUUGGACGCAAAAAAUAACGUGGUGUGGCCAACGGCGUACCGGGUUUUGAAGAAUACCUGCAGCUGCAGAUGCUCGUAGGUGUAGCCGUCCCGCCAUUCACGCCACUGGAUCCGCACAUUGGCGUCCAGCAUCAUACACAUAAACUCCACAGGCUGGCCGUCUUCCUGCGAUAGAUGUUCCAGUUGGACACAGUGCACUUUGCAGCGGUUGAUCUCGUGCACGGACAGUAGCAGACGCCAACCGGGACGACCAUUCCCGACGCCCGCAACGGCCGGCUCUAGCAUACCCAUAAACAAGUCACCGUACAGUACAGCGUCCGGCCGAUUAAUGUCGACGACAUCCCGCACCGGCUGAGCCAAAACGGCGGAAUCCUCCCGCAGCAGAUUUUCCAGUGCUUUUCUCAUGUCCACGGCCAGUCCUUCUUGCAGUCGAAAAAGCACCUGUCGGUCGACAUAUGUGUUUCUCGCCAAACUGCUAGCAACCGCCGCCCCAAAUAAUUCGGGAUCGUCCAAAUCACCCUCGGUGGCGCUUUGACCAUCGGAUUCUUGUUUCAGCGCCAGUAAGGUGUACGUCAGCAAAGCGGCCGUGGUGUCCAGGAUGCAAAAGACAUUCUGAACUCCGUUGUUCCGCCACCCGUCCACCACCGCUUGCCGGAUAACGGUGACAGCAUGGAGACCAUGCGACAGCACCAUUACCACGCAGCGGAGACUCUUCCGGCGCUUGAUUUUCAGGGCAUUCAGGAUGUAGGCGAACAGCUUAGCUAACAUCUCAGAUAUCACUACAUCCGACUUCGCCACACCGUAAGUGAACUCUAGCAGCAGACGUUUGAUGGAGACGGGCGGUCGGCAGCCGGCGUCGGCUUGGUGGUUAACCGCUUCGUCACCAAAAAUCCAUGGGGUGAGGCCAACGCCGCCGGCGGCCACUGCGCGAAAAGCGAACAGGACGCGUCGUUGUCCGUGGGCGAAGACCGCCACCGAGACCUCGCGGAAUCCAAUGGCCACUCCCAAGUGGUGUUUGCUAUACCUCUGCAAAGCGUGGUCCUUCUAGCUCUAAAUGGGUACACACGUAAACAGCAAACAUACGUAGAACUACUAACUGGGGUUGUCGUGUGGAGGUCAUUACAAGGGUGCCGCAGUAGACCGAUGCUCAUGGCUGCGUGUCCAGCUAGCCCAAUGCUUCUGUCCGUUGAAGGUACAAAUUUGACGACGCGAACUGCCUGGCGGUUAACCAAAAUUCUACUUAUAACCUAUAGCGAGAUAAAUAUCAGCACAUUAUAAAAGCUGAUAGCAGACUAAUUGUCGGUUAUAGUUGGUAGCUGCACUUAGGAAGAAUCAGAAAGCACAAGCAUUAUCCAGACGCUACACUGUAUACGUUCUACAUACAAACGUUACUGUGUCAUUUUCCGCAUUGUAUUAUUUACAUUUCCAUCCAGGUGGUCUACUGAAACACAUAAAACAGAGUACAGAGUCACAGACAUGUCAAAAUCGCUCGCGACUGACCCAUUUGUAAACCGCCCGGUUUGCUCUUGACUCUUGAGGUAAAACUUCCUAUCGCAACAAAAUACGCUUUGAUCACGUGCGCUAAAAUGUCAACAGGGAAGCGUUUUAUCUGCUCACACGGCUGUAGUGCAAUGAAACGGCAGGAAAAAAAUCUUGGUGCGUGACUAGAUAGCAUAUUUGUGUGUCACCGGACAAUGUCAAAGAAAAACGACGCACGAACCGGAUUCACCGCUAUUUCAACUUAUUUCCUUGGCUCUGCCAGAAAAUUGGGAUGUUAUUAUAUUCCAGUGUGGACUGCGAAUUGCUGCUCAAAAAUACUUUCUAUAUAAGCCCAAGCCUGUUUAAAAGGCCUAAAAUUGCUUUCAUACCUGGCUUUUUAAGUCUUUUAACUGAACCCUAUUUUCUCAUAGUUUUUGUGGCCGGAAACGAGCGGCAUGAAGCAAUAUAAAGGAUCGCAAUAAACACGAAAUUAUUAGAUACAGUCGCAAACGUGGCCGUUUCUAAAUUAUUUUC